GUCUGUUUAGCUUCAGGUUAGCAUUGAGUCCGGUCACCAAAGGGCUGCUCCUUCUGUGUCGGUGGUUAGUGCGAGAGGUGGAGGAGCCAAUGCUGCAGCUUGGGAGCGUCUCUGGGGAAUGUCCCUUGUGCAGUGGGAACGUCUGCUUUGGAAAUCAGGGCUGCUCUUCCCCCCCCUGCAGAGCCCGAACAGCAAAGAUUGCAGGCAGUCAUCAGGAGGGCUCGCGUUAGGGCUUCAGACCUUUGCUCCUUGCAGGAGUCUGCGCCGCGUGCUGCUCUCCCAGGCCGCCUUCCUAGAAGGAAAUGCAAACUCUCCAGUAACGCCGCAGCCUCGGAGCGCAGCCAAGGCACUCGCUCGCUCUCUGAGGGCUCAAUCAGCGCGGAGAGCCUAGGUGUGCCUGGCUGCCUGCUUCCCACUUGACCUCUGUGUGCUGAAGUAGGUCACGUUUCUGCUCCGGCAGAUCGCUGCAAAGGGCAGCGUGCUCACAGCGAGCGUCUCGUGUGUCUCGCUCCUCCGCGCUCGGCGUCUGAAGUGACAGCUCGAACGGAGAGACCACAGAGGCUUUCGGUUUCCCCUCGCUGAGCGCGUUCCUGCUGCUGGUGGAAACAUUCAGCCUGACUGUCCGGCACGGAGCGAAGCUGAAGGUUGUCGUUACACCAGGCAACGUGACUUGCUGCUGCUGGGGACAGCCAGGACCUGCAGCUAGGCAGCUUGGGUCCAGUGGAGCGUCUGGUGGUGGCCACCUUGUCCCCCUCGCAAGGAGGAGCCAGUGUAAAUGGGCUUGUGAAACACUCUUUCCACUCGAGAUGCAUGUUGGUGUUUCCUUAAAUCUGAAUCCCGCAGGACAAAGAUCAAGCACAUCUGAAACAGGCUCUUUGGAUCAAGAAUGCUGCUAUAUGAGAGACGUGUUACGCAGGCUUGGGGCUGUUUUACAUGCCGUUCCCUGCUAGUUUGGAGCAGAGACAUGGAAUCACUCAUCAGCUACGUCACGGCAUGCCACUGGCGAUGCCACCACGGUGUGAACCUUGGCAAUGGGAAGUGGACGAAUCCUGCCAUAAAUAUUUAAACACCGCGCAAAUCCUCUUUGUUUGCUCUUAAAUGUUUAUCCAGCUCCCCGGUGUAAUUGGGUAGCCCAUUAUCCGCCUGUCUGCGUGGCGUGUGUGGGAAGCUGAUAUUACAACCCCCCGUAUGAAUCUUUGAUAUGAGAGCAAAAUAAAUGUACAAG